GAGUUUGAUCGUGGCUCAGAUUGAACGCUGGCGGUAUGCCUUACACAUGCAAGUCGAGCGGCAGCAUGAUCUAGCUUGCUAGAUUGAUGGCGAGGUGGCGAACGGGUGAGUAGUACGAUCGGAACGUGCCCUGUAGUGGGGAUAACUAGUCGAAAGAUUAGCUAAUACCGCAUACGACCUGAGGGUGAAAGUGGGGGACCGCAAGGCCUCAUGCUAUAGGAGCGGCCGAUGUCUGAUUAGCUAGUUGGUGGGUAAAGGCCACCAAGGCGACGAUCAGUAGCUGGUCUGAGAGGAC
rnacentral:rRNA from 1 species